CUCUCCCUCUGUGCUCUCUCUCUCUCUCUCUCUCUCUCUCUCUCUCUCUCUCUCUCUCUCUCUCUCUCUCUCUCUCUCUCUCUGAGUCUAUUGUUUUCCUUUUUCUUCUGACACAUUUUCUUCUCACAUCUGCAUCGGUAAUUUCCUUUUUUUUUUUUUCUUAUUUGACGGCUGCAGUCCUUCUUGUGUUGUUGUUGUUGUUGUUAUUGUUGUUGAAUUUCUGGCCAUGACGAAAGGAAGGGAUGCUUUGCGUAAGGGAGGGAGGGAGGGUUGGAUAGCUUUGUUUUGCUCUUGGAGAUUCGGUUCAUUAUUAUUAUUAUUAUUAUUAUUAUUAUUAUUAUUAUUAUUAUUAUUAUUAUUAUUAUGAAUUUACUCACUCAUGGUUGACGGCGAGAAACUUUUUAUUCAUUUUAUUUAUUUAUCAAUUAUUUUUUUCCCCCAUCAUCUCGGACCUGUGCACUUUCCAGGCUCGGUUCUGGCUUAGAGUUUUGUUAUACCCGAGGCUAACCAUUGCAUAAGUGUGUGUGUGUGUGUGCGCAUGUGUGUGUGUGUGUGUGUGUGUGUUCAUACUGUCGAAAUUAAAAGAAAAGUUGGCAGUUUUUUUGUAUAUAAAGCUUUGUUAUUGUUGAUGGUGGUGUUUGCAAAGUAAAAGGCAUGUGUGUGUGUGUGUGUGUGUGUGUGUGUGUGCCUCUCAAUUUAUGUUUUCUUAUGAUUUUUCUUUUUCGUGCCUUUUCAAUAUGUGAUGUGGCAAGUUGCUGGUGAAGUAUAUAUAUAUGUGUGUGUGUGUGUGUAAUUACUAUUUUCUGGGAGUAAGAAUUAAUAGCUAUGUACGUUAAGGUUUUAGUUGUGUCUGAAUGGGCGACAUAUCUUGCUUUAGUUUGUCCGGUCAAAGUAAAUUGAUAAUGAUAAUGAAGUAAUUUGCUAAUGAAUGAGGCAGACCAGACAACCAGGCACUUGUUGAUGUGAUGCUUGUGUCAUGGAUGCUGUGAUAAACUGGUUCACUAGCCUGAGGGGCCACAUUACAGAAGCUUUAAGUCAACAGGCAGAGUGGCAGAGCAGCUUCAGAUCAUAAGUGUAUGUUGUAAUUAUGUCCUGGAGUGUCUCUGUGCCACAAGGAAAGUGUACCCAGGAUGUCAUGAGUGCAGGGGAGAAAGAGUUCUGUUUUGUUGUAGUGAGUGAGUCGCUCGGCUGCACUGUGUCGCCAUAUCUGUGUGUUCUGUGGGCCGCUCUCACAGUCGACGCUAUAGUUUUCCACGUGAAACUGGCCUAUGGGGUAGUGGCGGCUACAGAGGAAGCGAGAGGUGUUGAGAGUGUGUGGUAAGGUGCGGGGCUUGGCUAACCCCGCAGCCGCCACUACCCUAUCGGCUAGUUUUACGAGGAAAUGAUAUAGCGGUAAUCAACACUGUAUGUCCGUGGUAAUGGCAUGUUUGGUGUGUGACCCAGCACUGCCAAAUUAUUGUACUUGGAACAUUGCAUUUAUAAUUUUUAGGUCCCAAAGAAACUGCCGUACCCUCAUAGAUAACGAUAGUCUAUUAAAGUUAUCGUUGAAACUGUUUAAUAUUGAUGGUUUCCUUCUUUUUGCAAGAGUUAUUGGUGAGGAACUAUGAAAGUGCAAUGCGAUGAGUACGAUAAUUUGUGGACGCUGGUGUGAGUGCAGGCACCCACUGGUUGUCACAGAGCAGGUGUUGCCUCAAGGCCUGGUCCACUGUGUGCUGUUUAUUGUUUCUAGUCACAAAGCACUUUGGCACCUCACUUAACCGGGUAGCAGCGGGGAUCAUGUUUCUUAAUGGUCCCUCUAAGCGAGAAAAAUGAGAAAAAAUCACCCCUCACACAAACCAUUUCAUAAUAUAUAUCAAAGCAUUUGUGAUCAGAUUAUGUAUCAUUUAUUUUCGGGGGUUUAUAUCAUGGCACAAAUUUGGCCCGUCGCUGCUUCACGGUAAAGCCACAAAUUUGGUCCGGCGUUGCUACCGGGUUAAAGUCUGCUAAGUUGUAGGUUUUAUCAAAAUUGUGUAUAAGUGGUUAUGCUUUAUUAGUUAGUGGUUAUGGUUUAGUUCUCUUUAGCUUUCUGUGUCGUAUGAUUCUGGCCUGACAGCUUUGACUCCCUGGCGUGCAAUGCUCUAUUGAUGUAUCAUAGUGAAGAAUGUGAUAGCAGAGUUCCUAAGAUAUAGAUGUAUAUGAAUAUACCAGAAAGAAAUCCUUCUUUACCAUUAGGUUUAAUUGUUUGUGUCUCAAAAGGGAGCGUUGGACUAAACUUGUAAAUCAUUCUAUUAUACGUUUAUACAAAGUGAUAUAUUGGUGGUCUGUGCUCACCAGUACUGGCUAUGCAGAGUGUAGGAAGGGAAGAUGUGUUGGAAAGUAAUGCAGACCAGAUGUAUUGGACUAAACUUGUAAAUCAUUCUAUUAUACGUUUAUACAAAGUGAUAUAUUGGUGGUCUGUGACGGUGUGGCUCUGUAGCGCCUCACCCGUGCUCCCAUGUCACGCCACCCAUGUCUCUCACUGUGCCCCCUCCUCCUACUCACCCAUGCCUCUCAACCAUGUCUCCAGCCCACUCAUGCUUGUGUGAUUCAACCUAAUUUAUCUUUUUCCCAUUUCCCCAAGCCAUGCCACCCUACCCAUGCCCAUAACCAUUUCCCUCUCACCUCCCACUCCUGCUAACCUAACCUCCCAUACCACUUACCCAUACCCUCUCUACCAUGUCCCUCUCCCAUAUCCCUCUCAUUAUUUCUUUAUAUAAUUGAUGUUAGCACUGUAAGCCUUCCAUCAGCAGGUGUUUCAACAAGAUCUAGAUUACUAUAACAAAUUAAUCGGGGUUAGGAAUUUACGUAUAUUGAACAGCCAGAGAACGGGGUUUCCAUUAUGUGUGUCCUGACUAAACCCAAGCUCUUGAAAUACAAGCUCUUAAAAUACAAGCUCUUGAUAUCCAAACUCUUAAAAUACAUGCUCUUAAUAUCCAAACUCUUAAAAUACAUGCUCUUAAUAUCCAAACUCUUAAAAUACAUGCCCUUAAUAUCCAAACUCUUAAAAUACAUGCUCUUAAUAUCCAAGCUCUUAAAAUACAAGCUCAUAAAACUACCCUUGGAAAUACUAAUGCAACCUAUCCUCUCUCUCAAACACUUAGCUCUCACAGCCAACAAUUUCCCAAGGCCUCAGAAGAGAUUAGUCAGGCUUUCAUGAGUGUUCUAAACCAGUCGAUAGGAGGAAGGAGGUCAUAGUUAGCGCUGGUAAUUGUCUCUCUCUCAAGGGUUUAUUUAUGCUGUCAAUGGUUUAGCUUGAGGUUCCAUAAUGUGUGUCCAGACUAAACCCAAGUGUUAUAAACCAGUUAGGAGGAGGUCAUUGGCAGUGCUGGUUUUCUCUCAAUGGUUUAUUUAUGUGUGUGUUGGUUUAGCUUGAGGUUCCAUAAUGUGUGUCCAGACUAAACCCAAGUAUUAUAAACCAUUUAGAAGGAGGUCAUUGGUAGUGUUGGUUUUCUUUCUCUUUGUCGGGUUUAUGCUGUCAAUGGUUUAGCUUGAGGUUCCAUAAUGUGUGUCCAGACUAAACCCAAGUGUUAUAAACCAUUUAGAAGGAGGUCAUUGGCAGUGCUGGUUUUCUUUCUCUCUGUUGGGUUUAUGCUGUCAAUGGUUUAGCUUGAGGUUCCAUAAUGUGUGUCCAGACUAAACCCAAGUGUUAUAAACCAUUUAGAAGGUCAUUGGCAGUGCUGGUUUUCUUUCUCUCUCAAAGGGUUAUUUAUGGUGUCAUUGUUUUAGUUUAGUCUGGGAUGGAAAUCUGUUCAUGGCUGUACUACAUUGACCUUACUAUCACCUAAGCUUUUUAUUCAUGCUGUAGAGUUUUCUUGAUAUCCUCUCAGAGUUAAAAUGACUACGACUACUACUACUAUUAUCAUUAUUAUUAUUAUUAUUAUUAUUAUUAUUAUUAUUAUUAUUAUUAUUAUUAUUAUUAUUAUUAUCAUCACCAAUGUAAUAAAGGGUUGUAUUUUAGGUAAAUAGUCACAUUUAUAUUUCUCAAGAAAAUAAUUGUACAGUUUUUAUUGCAUUGC